UGAGAACUCAACACGUUUCCUUCACACCAAUGCUUUUUAGGCUGAAAACCUACCAUCACUUUUUCAUAUACAUUAGACCUCUUUUUUUCUUUUUAUUCUCUUCUCUUUCCCUUUUAUUAUCCAUUUCCUUUUAGACAACUCCACUAUAUCCAAAUUAGUGCAAAUGGGUUCUCUGCUGUAUUUGCUUUUUGUUAUUCUUCAGUUGUGGACUUGUGCUUCUGCUGCUUGCUCCAAUGGAAAUUGCAAGCUUCUGGAGGAGUGCUCGUCUGAUGAUGAUUGUGGAUCCGGGCUCUAUUGUUUCUCAUGCGGAGCUAAGUUUUCACGCUCUAGAUGAGUGAGAUCAUCCAUCACAGAUCAAUUCAAGCUCAUAAAUAACUCCCUACCAUUCAACAAAUAUGCAUUUUUAACAACACACAAUGCUUUCGCUAUUGAUGGAGAACCAUCUCACACAGGAGUACCUCGACUGACCAUCAUCAACCAAGAAGACAGUGUAACCCAGCAGCUGAAAAACGGAGUUCGGGGACUAAUGCUGGACACAUACGAUUAUGAUGGAGAUGUGUGGUUAUGCCAUUCCUUUCAAGGCAAGUGCCAUGACUACACAGCUUUUGAACCAGCUAUUGAUACACUGAAGGAAAUUGCAGCUUUUCUAUCAGCCAAUCCAACAGAAAUCGUCACACUCAUAUUGGAAGAUUACGUUAGAACACCAAAAGGGUUAACAAAGGUCUUCACUGAUGCUGGUUUGAUGAAGUUUUGGUUCCCUGUGACAAGAAUGCCAAAAAAUGGAGGAGACUGGCCUCUAGUGAGUGAUAUGGUUGCCAAAAACCAAAGAUUAGUAGUGUUCACUUCAGUGAGAUCCAAGGAACAAAGUGAAGGCAUUGCUUACCAGUGGAACUACAUGGUUGAAAAUCAAUAUGGGGAUGAUGGAAUGAAAGCAGGAAGGUGUCCAAACAGGGCAGAAUCAUCUCCUCUGGAUGACAAAAGCAAGUCCUUAGUAUUGAUAAACUACUUUCGAAGCCCACCACUUAAGCUGGUCACAUGUACUGAUCAUUCUAAAGCUCUCAUUAACAUGCUACAAACAUGUCACAAUGCUGCUGGCAACCGGUGGGCUAAUUUUGUUACUGUUGAUUAUUACAAGAGGAGUGAUGGAGGAGGAUCUUUUCAAGCAGUGGACACUCUCAACGGGAGGCUCUUGUGCGGGUGUAAUGAUGUCCAUGCAUGUCUGCCUGGAUCUACUCCACAAGCUUGCUCAGCAUAGAAAGCACAACACAAAGCUUGUUGAACUGUUUUGAGUCAUCUAAAACUUCAAUAGUAAUUGCUUGCCUUUGGGCAUGUUUAGUUUCAAUUCUGGAUGCAGUAGAGUAGUCAGUAGAUAUGAAUCCAUACUAUUUAUUGCUUUAAUUUGAUGUAAAUCCAUACAAGACGUGUGUGUACCUACCUACUUGUAUUUUCCAAACAUGCUUUCUGUGUCAUAGUAAGGAAUAACAGACAUUUCUAUA